rnacentral:rRNA from 1 species
UACGUAGGGGGCAAGCGUUAUCCGGAUUUACUGGGUGUAAAGGGAGCGUAGACGGCGAUGCAAGUCUGAAGUGAAAGCCCGGGGCUCAACCCCGGGACUGCUUUGGAAACUGGCGGACUAGAGUGCGGGAGGGGUAAGCGGAAUUCCUAGUGUAGCGGUGAAAUGCGUAGAUAUUAGGAGGAACACCGGUGGCGAAGGCGGCUUACUGGACGGCAACUGACGGUGAGGCGCGAAAGCGUGGGGAGCAA